GACGAACGCUGGCGGCGUGCUUAACACAUGCAAGUCGAGCGAGGGGAGUUCUUCGGAACAAACCUAGCGGCGGACGGGCGAGUAACACGUGGGCAACCUGCCUUGUAGAGGGGGAUAGCCUUCCGAAAGGAAGAUUAAUACCGCAUAACAUCAUAGUAUCGCAUGGUACAGUGAUCAAAGGAGCAAUCCGCUACAAGAUGGGCCCGCGGGGCAUUAGCUAGUUGGUGAGGUAACGGCUCACCAAGGCGACGAUGCGUAGCCGACCUGCGAGGGAGGGAGGCCACAUUGGGACUGAGAAGCGGCCCAGACUCCUACGGGAGGCAGCAGUGGGGAAUAUUGCACAAUGGGGGAAACCCUGAUGCAGCAACGCCGCGUGAGUGAUGACGGCCUUCGGGUUGUAAAGCUCUUUGAUUAGGGACGAUAAUGACGGUACCUAAAAAACAAGCCACGGCUAACUACGUGCCAGCAGCCGCCGUAAAAC
rnacentral:rRNA from 1 species